GAUAGCUCAGCUGGUUGACCGUGAGACUCUUAAUCUUAGGGUCGUGGGUUCAAGCCCCAUAAAAUCG